UCGACGGCGGGGUUUCAAGACAAGUGCGAACGUCAUACAUCUUGUGGAGGAUUCAAUCGUCAUAUUUCCGGAUACUGAAAUGGAAUAUAAGUCACAUUUCAAAGUUCAACAUAUCCAGUUACUAGGAAGGAAGAAGACAACGGGAAAAGGAUUCUGUUUUAACAUUCCUGCUAUUUUUCUGCUCAUAGAGAAAAUAGAGGUCACAUUUCAAGGUUCAUCAUCACCGAGUUACUAGGAAGGAAGAAGACAAGAAAAGGAUUCUGUUUUUAUAUUCCUGCUUUUUAUCUGCUCAUAGAGAAAAUAGAGGUGAGACUACAUUCUCAUUUAAACUUCAAAAUAUAACUGAUCUUGUGAAAAGCGCUUGUAACCGUUUAUAAAAUGCAUAUGGUUGAAAGUAGAAUAUAAUAAUGCACAUUAUGCCCCGCGACUAACGGGACUAGCAAGCUUGUGGGGUCAAAUUUUGUACUCCACAAAAUGGUUGAACAUCUAACUUUGCAAAGUUAAAGGAAACCACACAAUUUGGAGGCAUAUUCUUGUGGCUCAUAAUAUUCUGCAUAUAAAAUAUCUUUCUUACCAUAUGCGUUUCAUUAAAAAAAAAAAAACUUUUUAUGCACCAAGUUGCCUUACCCAAGCAGCGUGUCCCUUUAAAGUAAACUUGAAACACUUUUUUUUCUGAUGGUCAAUUGAUAGCAACAGUUGAGUGUGAUAUUAAAGGC